GACGAACGCUGGCGGCGUGCUUAACACAUGCAAGUCGAACGGCAAGGCCCUGCUUUCGUGGGGUGCUCGAGUGGCGAACGGGUGCGGAACAGGAGAGCAACCUGCUCUAGACUUUGGGAUAACUUAAGGAAACUGGGGCUACUAUAGGAUCGCAGACCACGCUGCAUGGUGGGGGUUGGAAAGUUUCGGCGGUAGGGGAUGGACUCGGGGAUUUUCAGCUUGUUGGUCGGGUAGUGGCUGACCCAGCAUUUGACGGGUAGCCGGCCUGGGAGGGUGACCAGCCACAUGAGUACUACGGUACGGCCCAGAGUCGUACGUUAGGCAACAGGGGGGAAUAUUGCACAAUGGGCGGAAGCCUGAUGCAGCGACGCCGCGGUCGGGAUGACGGCCUUCUGGGUGUAAACCGCUGUCGCCUGUGACGAAGCGUUAGUGACGGUAAUGAGUAAAGAAGCACCGGCUAACUACGUG
rnacentral:rRNA from 1 species